rnacentral:rRNA from 1 species
GACGAAGGAUCCAAGCGUUGUCCGGAUUUACUGGGUUUAAAGGGUGCGUAGGCGGAAAAUUAAGUCAGUGGUGAAAGCCCGCAGCUCAACUGUGGAACUGCCAUUGAAACUGGUUUUCUUGAAUAUAGCUGAGGCAGAUGGAAUAUAACAUGUAGCGGUGAAAUGCUUAGAUAUGUUAUAGAACACCGAUUGCGAAGGCAGUCUGCUAAACUAUUAUUGACGCUGAGGCACGAAAGCGUGGGGAGCGAACAGGAUUAGAUACCCUGGUAGUCCACGCCCUAAACGUUGAUUACUCGCUGUUGGCGAUAUACUGUCAGUGGCUAAGCGAAAGCAUUAAGUAAUCCACCUGGGAAGUACGACCGCAAGGUUG